UCUCCGUAGGUGAACCUGCGGAGGGAUCAUUACAGAGUUCAUGCCCUACAGGGUAGAUCUCCCACCCUAUGUUAUUAUUACUUUGUUGCUUUGGCGGGCCGUUAGUCUCCGGCCCGACUACCGGCCCCGGCUGGUAAGCGCCCGCCAAGGGACCCAAAACUCUGAAUAUUAGUGUCGUCUGAGUACUAUAUAAUAGUUAAAACUUUCAACAACGGAUCUCUUGGUUCUG
rnacentral:misc_RNA from 1 species